ensembl:lncRNA
CGCUGCUCUGUCUGUGUUAAGAUGUCCACUUGCAAACCUCCGUAUGUUAUAUGGAGUCUAUAACUUGAUUGUAAAGACAAAAAGAAUUGCUUUGGCCUCGCACAUGAUUUGGCUUCCCUUCUGCUCCUGCAGUGACCGCCGACCUCAGCGGGAGCGUGGGGACACGGAACUGAGCCCGGCGCUCUGACCCGAGGGCUGUGAUCUCCCUAAUGUUAUCACUCACGGCAAAUAAAUUAGUUUGGCUGCCUUCAAAUUACGGACGGUCCAAACAAACCGACCAACCAGGAGCGACGGGUUGUGUACGCACGUAUAUUUUGUUCACAGCUGCAGCACGCAGGCUAUAGUUAAUAUAAGCACAGCUGAGCCAGUCCUUCUGUCACUGCUGGCAGUGGCCUAGAGGAUGCCUAGAAAAUAGCAAGCACGUGGUGAUUGCUGCCUGGGAGGAUCUCCUUGUUCUAGAGGCGUGAGGUACUCAGAGUUCCUGAACAACGUGCAGUGACCCAAGUGUGUCACAGUUUGAGCACAGAGGAAGCACCACUGAGGUGGCAGAUGAUUCUAAUAAUACUUGAUGUGAAUUGAUGGGGAAGGAGGACCAUAACACAGAG